rnacentral:hammerhead_ribozyme from 1 species
AUCCAGCUGACGAGUCCCAAACAGGACGAAACGCGCGUUCUGAGU